AUGGAUCCAGCCGUCCAGUCCUUCCUGGAGCGUCUGGAGACCACUCUCAAAGAGCACACUGCCGCGAUCCACGCCUCCAACUCCAAGAUCGACGAUCUCGUGGCUUGGCGCCCCGAUCUCGAGCGGCGCGUCGCCGAUCUGUCCGACGCGGUGACGGCACUCCAGCGUGCCCCGCUGCCACCGCCGCCGCCGGCAACGACAUCCCACCAAGCGCCUUCGUCGAGUCACCCACCGCCUGCGACAAUCGGCACCCACAUCGGGGCCGCGUCUGGCGCGGCAGCAAAUCAGCAAGGGCCCGAAGGCCACGGCGUCUACAACAUCCCACGGGGGCCAUCAACGGUGUCCUUCCUGACACCGCCACCGCCCCCGGCAAACGGUCAGUACGACGCCCCCCCUUCACCCCCUGCUCUGUCCCCGUUUGCGCACGCGAGCCAGCUACUCAGCGGCCUCGGCCAAGCGCACCCCUCCAUCCAGUUCCCACAGUUCACGGGUGACAACCAGAAACUGUGGAAAACACUUUGUGAGCAGUACUUCAGCAUGUUUGCUAUUCUGCCUUCGUUUUGGGUGCCCAUGGCCGCGCUGAAUUUCUCUGGUUCUGCGUCCAUCUGGUUGUAA
rnacentral:rRNA from 1 species